AUUGAACGCUGGCGGCAGGCCUAACACAUGCAAGUCGAGCGAGCGUCGGACGGGGGAGUAAUGCCUAGGGAUCUGCCUGUUCGUGAGGGAUAACGUCCAGAAACGGGAGCUUAUGCCGCAUCCUAUCAGCUGCGCCUCGGUGGGAUUAGCUAGUGGGUGGGGUAACGGCUCACCUAGGCGACGAUCCCUAGCGGGUCUGAGAGGAUGACCAGCCACACUGGAACUGAGACACGGUCCAGACUCCUACGGGAGGCAGCAGUGGGGAAUAUUGCACAAUGGGCGAAAGCCUGAUGCAGCCAUGCCGCGUGUGUGAAGAAGGCCUUCGGGUUGUAAAGCACUUUCAGCGGGGAGGCGUUACCCGCAGAAGAAGCACCGGCUAACUCCGUGCCAGCAGCCGCGGUAAUAC
rnacentral:rRNA from 1 species